rnacentral:tRNA from 1 species
AUUCAAAUAGCUUAUAUUUAGAGUAUAACACUGAAGAUGUUAGGGAGAUUAUUUAUCUUUGAAUA